rnacentral:rRNA from 1 species
AUUGAACGCUGGCGGCAGGCUAAACACAUGCAAGUCGAGCGGAGAUGAGGUGCUUGCACCUUAUCUUAGCGGCGGACGGGUGAGUAAUGCUUAGGAAUCUGCCUAUUAGUGGGGGACAACAUUCCGAAAGGAAUGCUAAUACCGCAUACGUCCUACGGGAGAAAGCAGGGGAUCUUCGGACCUUGCGCUAAUAGAUGAGCAUAAGUCGGAUUAGCUAGUUGGUGGGGUAAAGGCCUACCAAGGCGACGAGCUGUAGCGGGUCUGAGAGGAUGAUCCGCCACACUGGGACUGAGACACGGCCCAGACUCCUACGGGAGGCAGCAGUGGGGAAUAUUGGACAAUGGGGGGAACCCUGAUCCAGCCAUGCCGCGUGUGUGAAGAAGGCCUUAUGGUUGUAAAGCACUUGAAGCGAGGAGGAGGCUACUGAGACUAAUACUCUUGGAUAGUGGACGUUACUCGCAGAAUAAGCACCGGCUAACUCUGUGCCAGCCGCCGCCGUAAAAC